rnacentral:misc_RNA from 1 species
CGCACAUUGCGCCCUUUGGCAUUCCGAGGGGCAUGCCCGUUCGAGCGUCAUUAAAUCCAAUCAAGCCCGGCUUGGUAUUGGGCGUCGGGGUCCCCCCGCGCCCUAAUUUCGCCGGCUGGCCGUCGCCCGUCUUAGCGUUGUGACACACUUCUCGCUUGUGGCAGGGGCGGGCACGCCGUUAUAAUUCACGGAUUUCGGUCGAAGUCCAUCAAAGGUUGACCUCGGAUCGGGUAGGAAUACCCGCUGAACUUAA